AAGAUGAUUGACUCUCAGAUGGUUGGCUGCUUCAUCAGUAGAGCACUGAAUGCUAAGGAGUGAUGGGGAGCGCACUCCCUUGGACCACCAAAGGUUUCGAACACAUGCUGUUGUUUCAACAUUUCAUUUGCGGAAUCGAAAUGGAGGAACAAAUAAAGGUACAAAUUGUGAAGUAUAGCCAGAAGGCUUUGACAGAAAGAACAGCAGGACUACUUCAUCUUUAUAGCAUUUGAUUCAGUGACACUGCAACUGACAAGGUUUCUGCUCUGAGCAUUUAAUUCUGCAAUUUAAAGUACUAUUCAACAAAACAUAAAAGGAAGUAUGUCUGA